rnacentral:rRNA from 1 species
CCUACGGGAGGCAGCAGUGAGGAAUAUUGGUCAAUGGCCGUAAGGCUGAACCAGCCAAGUCGCGUGAAGGAAGAAGGAUCUAUGGUUUGUAAACUUCUUUUAUAGGGGAAUAAAGGUAUCCACGUGUGGAUAUUUGCAUGUACCCUAUGAAUAAGCAUCGGCUAACUCCGUGCCAGCAGCCGCGGUAAUACGGAGGAUGCGAGCGUUAUCCGGAUUUAUUGGGUUUAAAGGGUGAGUAGGUUGUUUUUUAAGUCAGCGGUGAAAGUUUGUGGCUAAACCAUAAAAUUGCCGAUGAAACUGGAAGACGUGAGUGUGUUUGAGGUAGGCGGAAUGCGUGGUGUAGCGGUGAAAUGCAUAGAUAUCACGCAGAACUCCGAUUGCGAAGGCAGCUUACUAAGCCAUAACUGACACUGAAGCACGAAAGCGUGGGGAUCAAACAGGAUUAGAUACCCCAGUAGUC